UACAGAGGGUGCAAGCGUUACUCGGAGUUACUGGGCGUAAAGAGCUCGUAGGCGGUUCUUCAAGUCUGAUGUGAAAUCCCUGGACUCAAUCCAGGAAGUGCAUCGGAUACUGCUGAGCUGGAGUACAGGAGAGGAAAGCGGAAUUCCAGGUGUAGAGGUGAAAUUCGUAGAUAUCUGGAGGAACAACAGCGGCGAAGGCGGCUUUCUGGACUGUAACUGACGCUGAGGAGCGAAAGCGUGGGGAGCAAACAGG
rnacentral:rRNA from 1 species